rnacentral:rRNA from 1 species
AGCGAACGCUGGCGGCAGGCCUAACACAUGCAAGUCGAACGAAGUCUUCGGACUUAGUGGCGGACGGGUGAGUAACACGUGGGAACGUACCUUUUGGUUCGGAACAACUCAGGGAAACUUGAGCUAAUACCGGAUGAGCCCUUAGGGGGAAAGAUUUAUCGCCGAAAGAGCGGCCCGCGUUAGAUUAGCUAGUUGGUGAGGUAAAGGCUCACCAAGGCUACGAUCUAUAGCUGGUCUGAGAGGAUGAUCAGCCACACUGGGACUGAGACACGGCCCAGACUCCGACGGGAGGCAGCAGUGGGGAAUCUUGCGCAAUGGGCGAAAGCCUGACGCAGCCAUGCCGCGUGAAUGAUGAAGGUCUUAGGAUUGUAAAAUUCUUUUACCAGGGACGAUAAGGACGGUACCUGGAGAAAAAGCCCCGGCUAACUUCGUGCCAGCAGCCGCCGUAAAAC